rnacentral:rRNA from 1 species
AUUGAACGCUGGCGGCAGGCCUAACACAUGCAAGUCGAACGAGUGGCGGACGGGUGAGUAAUGUCUGGGAAACUGCCUGCUGGAGGGGGAUAACUACUGGAAACGGUAGCAAAUACCGCAUACCAUCGGAUGUUCCCAGAUGGGAUUAGCUAGUAGGUGGGGUAAAGGCUCACCUAGGCGACGAUCCCUAGCUGGUCUGAGGGGAUGACCGGCGACACGGGAACAGAGACACGGUGCAGACGCCUACGGGAGGAAGCGGGGGGGAAUAUGGCAAAAUGGGAGAAAGCGUGAUGCAGCCAUGCCGCGUGUAUGAAGAAGGCCUUCGGGUUGUAAAGUACUUUCAGCGGGGAGGCGUUACCCGCAGAAGAGGCACCGGCAAACACCGUGCCAGCCGCGGCGGUAAAC